UGGACAAUAGGCGCAAGCCUGAUCCAGCCAUGCNGGCGUGGGGUGAAGAAGGCCUUCGGGUUGUAAAGCCCUUUUGUCCGGAAAGAAAAGUCCUGGUCUAAUACCUCGGGAUCAUGACGGUACCGGAAGAAUAAGCACCGGCUAACUUCGUGCCAGCAGCCGCGGUAAUACGAAGGNUGCAAGCGGUUACUCGGAAUUACUGUGCGUAAAACGUGCGUAGAUGGUUUGUUAAGUCUGAUGUGAAAGCCCUGGGCACAACCUGGGAACUGCAUUGGAUACUGGCAAGCUANAGUGCGGUAGAGAGUGAUGGAAUUACCGGUGUAGCAGUGNAAUGCGUAUAGAUCGGGAGGAACACCUGUGGGGAAGANGCNCNCCUGGACCAGCACUGNCACUGUGGCACGAAAANGUGUGGAGCGNACANNAUUAAAUACCCCGGUANNNCACGCCCUANACGAUGCGAACUGGAUGUUGGGGGCANCUANCAACUCAGUNUCGAAGCUAACGCGUUA
rnacentral:rRNA from 1 species